rnacentral:rRNA from 1 species
GUGCCUAACACAUGCAAGUCGAACGAGAAAGGGGAGCAAUCCCUGAGUAAAGUGGCGACCGGGUGAGUAACACGUGACUAACCUGCCCUUGAGUGGGGGAUAACCUCGGGAAACCGGGGCUAAUACCGCAUAACAUCUUCGGGAUGAAAAGCUGAAGAUCAAAGGAGCAAUUCGCUUAAGGAGGGGGUCGCGGCUGAUUAGCUGGUUGGUGGGGUAACGGCCCACCAAGGCGAAGAUCGGUAGCCGGCCUGAGAGGGCGCACGGCCACACUGGAACUGAAACACGGUCCAG